rnacentral:rRNA from 1 species
UCGUAGGUCAGCAUACUACGGUGAAUACGUUCCCGGGCCUUGUACACACCGCCCGUCAAACCAUGAGAGUUGGCAACACCCGAAGUCGGUAGUCUAACCGCAAGGAGGACGCCGCCGAAGGUGGGGUUGAUGAUUAGGGUUAAGUCGUAACAAGGUAAC